AGGCAACUACACGUUGGGCGCUCG
rnacentral:miRNA from 2 species